rnacentral:lncRNA from 1 species
GCUACAGCCAAAACCGCAGCUCACAACAGAUGCAGGUGGUGCGGGGCUCUCUUCUCCUGACACAGGCCACGCUGUCUUCAAUCAGAUAAGACAUAGGACGGAGCGCCAAGGGGAGAACAACACCUUUCCUGCUUGGACCACUGCAUGGACUCCGACUACACAUCCGCACCGGCCCCUCUCUUGACCCCUAUAAAAGCCCCGCCUCAGUCAGGACCAAAAGAAGCUGUGACGCUGCACAUCCGGACGGACAGAUGGGAGAUCUGCAUUCCAAGCCUGGCCCUGACUCACAGGCCGUCCUGGGGCCGGCAGGGUGAGAUGCACUCCUACAGUUAUGUAUGGGCAGGACAAAUACCUGACCAAGCAGGUCACGAGAGCCUGCCAGGUUGGGCGCACAGGGCCGUACACAAGGAUGGCCACUAUGGGAAGCCACACGGCACCUGCCCGUCCCUGCUCACCCACGGAGGACGCGGGCCUGUGGACGCAGGAGAAAAAGAGCUGGCACCCUCGGGCACGGCCCCUUGUCUGCCUGGGGACGAGGUCACCAGGUAACGGCGGCCUUCGUACUGCACCGUGGAGACCCCAGUGUGUUCAGACGACAGACUGUGAGGACAGACUAUUCGUCCGGGGCCAGGGGUGGAAAGACUGCCCUUCACGUCACCUCUACACACGACAGAGCAGUAUUGCGCGGACACGGUGAUGUCAGAGUGCGGCCUUCUAACUCGUACAAUGAGUAUGUGUUAACAGCUAUAGUAAAAUAUCGAUCCAAAUUUAAAGAACACUGAGUGGGUGACUCAGUGGGCUCAAGCGGCUGCCUGCAAGUACAAGGCUGCCUCCCACCGGGUGGCGCUGCAGUGCCCCAGGGAAGGGCGAGCCUUGUGGGCGGUGAGGGGACGCGGCCUGUCAUGGGCCGCCUUCUGGUUGCUGCGCUCUUUCCAAGCUCAGCCAUGUGAUGCUGUUACUACCGGAGAGCGGAUGUCCCCAACCCUGAUGGCUGGACUCCUCAGACAGGGAUCCCGCAGAAGGCCUGGUCUGGACUUGGUUCACGAAAGGGCCUUGGGGCGGUCACCGUAACAGCACGCCCACCCUGAUCUCGCAUUAGCAAUCCGCACCAGCCUCAGGCACAGAUGCCGGCACACUGGAAAGGACAGGCUGGUGCUGUGAGACAAACAGGAAAGCAAAUAAAUAAUAGCUACACAAACAAGGCAACCAGGCCGGUCUUGGCCUUUCAGUUUUAGCAAAGCUUCUUUAGAACAAUCAUGUCUGUGUUACAUGAACCAAGGGAUGGAAGGCACCACCAACGCAUUUGCACGGAGAGUCUGCGCAGGGGUCUCGGGAAGGCCAGAUGGGGGCCAGGGCUGCAGGACUGCAGAACCAUUUGGUUGUGGAGCAGUUUCCUGAGGCCUCAGUAAGAGUGCUGUAUAGGAGGGCGCACACAGGGAAGGAGAGACGGGAGAGGAAGGUUAUCUGAGCGUGAAACUCUGACUACUAGCAUGCUGGGCAACCGGAAAAGUAAGCACCUGGCCAGUGCCCUUGUUUCACAGGCCAGGCGGAGGCGCCUCCUGUGCCUCCCGGCUCUGUCCGGUGACCCUACUUCAUUGCGUCUUAGCCAGGUGCACUCAUGCACCAUGGACGUGGCUGAUCCUGGAGCUCUGUCUGUUUCUACCCCCUUGGGAUGAAUCGCAGUGGCAGAGGCUGCAGGGACCAUCGGGGAAGUGCACGUCCCAGUCUUCCCUAGACGGCUCAAUAGCAGGGGUCCUCGGCCACCCCAGGGCUUCCAUCAUGGGCUGUGAAAGUCCUUGUUGCUCCCUUCCUAGACAGCAUCAGGGUGGUGGCAGAGGCCUCAGUUGCUGGGUAUCUGCAGCUCCCCAAACUGUACCCACUCGCAAUGCUUCUGACUUACUCUCCUACAUGUCUCAGGGAGUCCUGUAAGUGUUCUUGCUGGUAAAGCUUUUUUUUUUUUUUUUUUUUUUUUUUUGGUGACUGGGGAUGGAACUCAGGUCCUUGAGCUUGGGAGGCAGGCGGUGGAACCACUGAGCUAAAUCCCCUGCUCUGAUACUCAUUUGUAAUGACAACCAAUUAGCGUGGACAAUGGGGCCAGAGGACUCAAAAAUCACCCUGCCUGCUGGGCGUGGUGGCACACGCCUGUCAUCCCAGCACUUGGGAGGCUGAGGCAGGAGGUUCGCUGUGAGUUCGAGACCAGCCUGGGCUACAUAGUGAGUUCCAGGUCAGUCUCAACUACACCGUGAGACCUGUCUCAAAACAAAACAAAACAAAACAUCACCCUGCCUGAGAAGCAGAAGUCAUGAGAUCCCAAAAUGACCAGCCCCACCAUUUAGUGGACAUGAAAAGCACUAGCCUAUGUGAGGCUCUGGGUUCGACCCUCAGCACUGAGAAAACAAAACACACACAAAAAAGACAGGGAUUUAGCUCAGUGGCACUGCGCCUGCCUCACCUAAGGUACUGAGUUUGAUCCCCGGUACCAAAACAAACAAAAAAACACUGUGCUUCCACUAAUGGUCCCGUUCGUGCGGCCAGAGCCCUUGCCCAGGGAGAGCCUGUGGCCAGGCCACAAGCAUGGCUUUCAGAGGAGGAGAGACAUGGCCAGCACCAGAGGCCCAGUGCCAGCUGGAGGCCUGCAAAGCACACAGUGCACAGGAUUCUCUCCAUUCUCCCACAGCAGCUCAGAAGCAGGAGCCCGCAGAAACCCUGCCCUGUUCUCCAAGCACACACACUCGGUGUGGCGUGACACUGGCACGGCAGAGGGGAGGAGUUUUCCAUUCUCGCUGGAUCUAGUCUUUCAACGCUUAGGCGCCUUCCACGGCUCUGCGUUCAUCUCUCACUUCCCUUUUCGGUCUACUGUGCCUCCAACACGAGUGCACCCCCACCUCCUGGGGAGCUGCUAAAGGAAACGGUCACCAAGUCACUGUCUAAAUCACAGCGUUAUUACCAAGGACAUGCGGGGACCCUUGCCUCCACCCAAGGCCCACACCAUAGUCAGAUGAUUUACAGACUGGAAACGCAAGCCCAGGAGGAGGAAGCAUAACAGGAACUUGGGGGAUUAUAAAUCCAGUUACUGCAGGGCGCUAGGAGGCCUUUAUAGGCCUUUUCCACCUCACAGAAUGUGACAACUGUGUCCUCUUCUAGGUCCAUCUUAGUCCAGAAAGAAUGGCCAUCAACAAGAAAGCAAAUAAUAACAAAUGCUGCUGGGCAUGGUGGUGCACUCCUGUAAUCCCAGGCACUCCAGAGGCAGAGUCAGGAGGAUUGCCGAGUUCCAGGCCAGCCUGAGCUACAAAAAAAAAAAAAAAAAAAAAAAAAA